GCAGACACCACUGUCACUUUUCGCCGCUUGCUGCGGCCAUGGUCAACCCCACCGUGUUCUUCGACAUCACGGCCGAUGACGAGCCCUUGGGCCGCGUCUCCUUUGAGCUGUUUGAAGACAAAGUUCCAAAGACAGCAGCAAAUUUUCGAGCUCUGAGCACUGGAGAGAAAGGAUUUGGCUAUAAGGGUUCCUCCUUUCACAGAAUUAUUACAGGAUUCAUGUGCCAGGGUGGUGACUUUACACGCCAUAAUGGCACUGGCGGCAGGUCCAUCUACGGAGAGAAAUUUGAGGAUGAGAACUUCAUCCUGAAGCACACAGGUCCUGGCAUCUUGUCCAUGGCAAAUGCUGGACCAAACACAAAUGGUUCCCAGUUUUUUAUCUGCACUGCCAAGACUGAAUGGCUGGAUGGCAAGCAUGUGGUCUUUGGGAAGGUAAAAGAAGGCAUGAACAUUGUGGAAGCCAUGGAGCGUUUUGGGUCCAGGAAUGGCAAGACCAGCAAGAAGAUCACCAUUUCCGACUGUGGACAACUCUAAUUUCUUUUGACUUGCGGGCAUUUUACCCAUCAAACCAUUCCUUCUGUAGCUCAGGAGAGCGGCCCUACCCCAUCUGCUCACAAUGUCCUGUAAUCUCUGCUCUCACUGAAGUUCUUUGGGUUCCAUAUUUUCCUCAUUCCCCUUCAAGUCUAGCUGGAUUGCAAAGUUAAGUUUAUGAUUAUGAAUAAAAACUAAAUAA